rnacentral:sRNA from 1 species
GAUUGCGGUCGCCGCCCAUGAUGCCGGUUGCGGGCGAAACGUCGUU